AUUGAACGCUGGCGGCAGGCCUAACACAUGCAAGUCGAGCGGAUGAGAAGAGCUUGCUCUUCGAUUCAGCGGCGGACGGGUGAGUAAUGCCUAGGAAUCUGCCUGGUAGUGGGGGACAACGUUUCAAAGGAACGCUAAUACCGCAUACGUCCUACGGGAGAAAGCAGGGGACCUUCGGGCCUUGCGCUAUCAGAUGAGCCUAGGUCGGAUUAGCUAGUUGGUGAGGUCAUGGCUCACCAAGGCUACGAUCCGUAACUGGUCUGAGAGGAUGAUCAGUCAAACUGGAACUGGGACCCGGUCCAGACUCCUACGGGAGGCAGCAGUGGGGAAUAUUGGACAAUGGGCGAAAGCCUGAUCCAGCCAUGCCGCGUGUGUGAAGAAGGUCUUCGGAUUGUAAAGCACUUUAAGUUGGGAGGAAGGGCAGUAAGCUAAUACCUUGCUGUUUUGACGUUACCGACAGAAUAAGCACCGGCUAACUCUGUGCCAGCCGCCGCCGUAACAC
rnacentral:rRNA from 1 species